rnacentral:lncRNA from 1 species
GAAAAAAACAUAGCUCAAAGACCACAAAAGAGUUUUGCUCUUUUGUCAAGGUUGGAAUAGAACAAAAGCAUUUAAGAUGGUUUACCAGAUGCAUGGAUGCAAGAGUUAGAUAGCAACCAUUACCACGGUUAUUAAAGCCAUGAUGCACCAGAGUCGGGAAGAGCAAUUUUGGUCCAUAAUUCACAAGCUAAAACAUAGCAAUAUUUAUGUUACAAUCUGUCAGAAGAAGCGUCGUUAGUACAGAACCAUUGAAAAAAACAUAGCUCAAAGACCACAAAAGAGUUUUGCUCUUUUGUCAAGGUUGGAAUAGAACAAAAGCAUUUAAGAUGGUUUACCAGAUGCAUGGAUGCNNNNNNNNNNNNNNNNNNNNNNNGUCAGAAGAAGCGUCGUUAGUACAGAACCAUUGAAAAAACAUAGCUCAAAGACCACAAAAGAGUUUUGCUCUUUUGUCAAGGUUGGAAUAGAACAAAAGCAUUUAAGAUGGUUUACCAGAUGCAUGGAUGCAAGAGUUAGAUAGCAACCAUUACCACGGUUAUUAAAGCCAUGAUGCACCA